rnacentral:lncRNA from 1 species
GUACAAAUAACCACAUGUCAUUUACUGUGAUAAAGAGCACAACUACAAUGUGCAUCACAGUAUAGACGUGUAUAACGUUUUCAAGUGUUUCCACCAUGAGAUCUAACUGUCUGACCAUCGUUCAUGUGUUCGUCUUGGUGACACUCGUCCUCACUCUGGAUGCUGAUGGUAAAGAUUUAAAUUGUGAAACAGAAAUCAAAGUCCGUCGCAACACAGUUUACGAAGCCGUCGUUGGACAAGAACUCAGGAUUAACUGCACAGUUGUUUUCUGUAACAAUUCACAAACAGUCUACUGGUUUAAAUUUGAGAAGACUCCUGUUCCUGUCAACAUCAGCAGUGGGAGCCACAUUAAAACAGACUGGAUAACGUUAAAACAUUUUAGAGGGAUUUCAUCACUGAUUUUCAAAAACAUUCUCAGUAGUGACUCAGGACAGUAUCGUUGUCAGAGUGGAGGCAGUGUGAGUCACACCAUCAACGUCUCUGUUCAUGAUCAUGUUGAGUCCACCACAAUGACAUGGACACUGGAACCAGAGAACCUGACUCAGGACUCUUUGUGGCAUUAUGUGUACAGUGCUGUUGGAGUCAUUGUGUUUGUGAUCAUAGUGACAUCGAUAUCUAUUGCACUAAUGAAAGCAUGUGAAGGUGUCCACUGUGCAGGAGGAUCCAGAACCACAACAGAUCCGAACCCUGAAGCUUCUGACCACGAAGCAGCCAUUUAUGAGAAUGACAUGUGAUGACUGAGUCUGUGCUUUGAAAACUGUCACAUAAAAACUCUGAUAUUAAGGCUGUGAUUAAUAUCAAAGACUGUAAACUUACUCUGAUGUAUUACAUUUUUAUGAUUUGCUGUAUAAGAAGCGAUGGAAAGCAGCACAGAGCGUAGAAAAUGGCAUUUUUUUCCAGAAAACUACUUGUCUUGGUUUGGAUGUUUUGUACAACACACCCACUGUUAAAGUUGAAAUUCUGACUUGGUGCUGUUGUGGUU